rnacentral:rRNA from 1 species
UAUGUGAUCGUCUCUCGCAUAUCAAUAAGCGGAGGAAAAGAAACUAACAAGGAUUCCCCUAGUAACUGGCGAGUGAAGCGGGAAGAGCUCAAGUUUGAAAUCUUAAAGGUUUUCCCUUGACGAAUUGUAGUUUAAAGAAGUGUUUUCUGUUGAAGUUUUGGUAAAAGUUCUUUGGAAUAGGACAUCAUAGAGGGUGAGAAUCCCGUAUUUGACCUUUACUUUCAACUUUGUGAUACACUUUCAAAGAGUCGGAUUGUUUGGGAAUGCAGUCCAAAAUGGGUGGUAAAUUUCAUCUAAAGCUAAAUAUUGGCGAGAGACCGAUAGCGAACAAGUACCGUGAGGGAAAGAUGAAAAGAACUUUGAAAAGAGAGUUAAACAGUACGUGAAAUUGUCAAAAGGGAAGCGUUUGACACCAGUGUUGUUUUUCUGAAAAUCAAUUAAAGAACUGUUUAUGCUAAGUUGUUUAGACUUUAUCAGCUAACUGUUUAGUUUUGAGCUUUUCUUUAAUGCACUUUUCAGUUAACAAGUCAACAUCAAUUUCUUUUGCUGUAAAAAAGCUUGAGGAAGGUGGCUUGAGAUUCGUCUUAAGUGUUUAUAGCCUCUUGCCUAUGCAGUCGGAGAGAUUGAGGUCUGCAGCGUAGAUCCUUCGGGGCUAAAUGCAUUUGUGCUAAGUUAUAGCAUUUUAUAGACAACUUGUUGACUAUGAUUUGUCUUGUAGCUUACUCGCUUAUGUUAUUUUACCUACGCUUAGGAUGUUGAGUCAUCACACAUCUCU